rnacentral:sRNA from 1 species
UCGAUUACAUGUUAUGAGUUUCUCGAUGC